UUGGCAUUCUGCUAUAAGUUACCUAAAUAAAAUGCAGAAUCACGGAGAGAGAAUUGAAGGCCCUGGCUGCCUUAACAUUGAGACUACCUUGACCACCCCUGGCCUAGACCCAGGUAUUUUACCCUCUCAAGAAUUCCAGUCUAUCCUGGAGUCCACUAUGGCCGGCUCGGUCCAGCGAGCCAUAGCUUCGGCCAUGGGGACUAUGUCCUCCUCAAUUUCCCACUCCCUGGCUCAAGCACUUCUAUUACCCUCAGAGUUGCAGCCAACUAUACCGGUACAAACUGAUACAACAGUCCCUGCGACCCGCAAAACAAAAGCCAAAACUAAACAUACAUCGACACUCCCACUGAUGCAGGUAUCCCCUGCCCUGAUUGACCCGCCUAUGGUGGUCCCAGAUGGCGUGUUGCC